CAAAAUGUAGCUUAACCAAAGCACCUCGCUUACACCGAGAAAAUAUCUGUGAGACUCUGAUCAUUUUGA
rnacentral:tRNA from 1 species